CCCAGCAGCCAUAUCACUCUGUAACUCACAACUGACAACCCACUGAAGCUCAGCAGGUGUGAGCCUGGUCAGUACCUGGAUGGGAGACCUCCUGGGAAAGAUAAGGUUGCUGCUGGUU
rnacentral:rRNA from 1 species